UGCUCUCGCGCGCACCUCUACCACUCUCCCGCUUCCCUUAUCGUUCUACCUAGUAGUAGCAGUAGCAGUAGAAGUAACUGUUGUUGUUGCUCUUGAUCAGUGCUUCUUUUUAUCUUCCUGUUCGGUGUUGUUAGCAUUUUAAUCAGUUGGGAUCCUCGCCACCGCCGCCGCCGCCGCCGCCGGCUGAGAGGGGAAGAGGACAAAACGAAGGAGAAGAAAUUAAAGCCGUUUCUCUCUCUCUCCCC
rnacentral:lncRNA from 1 species